AUUGAGAUGCCGUAACAGCACUAGAGAAAGACAAGCUACUUUAAGCAAUGAGCAACGUUAACAACAAUUGGCACGACGAUGAUCAAACUACAACCAACGACACCACCCAGGAGGUUACACGUUGAACUUUCUCAAUAAUGUCCCAAGACGAGUUCGAUCAUCAAGGCAUCGCCCUCCAUUAGGUAUCUUAGGGUAUUUUCAUGUUCCAAUUUGUCAUGUUUCCAUGUCUUAACCAUACUAGAGGCCGGGGCACACGCAUCGCGUGUGCAAGUCGGAUUUUCAUAACAUUUGUGAAAAUUUGAUCAAACAAUAAGUGGGAAGCAUUUUUACAAAAACGGUAUGAAUAUUCGACUUGCACAAGCAUCGCGUGUGCCCCAGCCUUUUGUCUAUAUAAUAUAAGAGGGUGGUUUAUAUU